rnacentral:rRNA from 1 species
ACACUGACGUCGCGACGCAUAUCAAUAAGCGGAGGAAAAGAAACUAACUAGGAUUCCCUCAGUAACGGCGAGUGAAGCGGGAAGAGCUCAAAUUUGAAGUCUUCAAGGUUUUACCUUGACGAAUUGUAGUUUAAAGAAGUGUUUUCUGUUGAGUGUUUUGGUAAAAGUUCUUUGGAAUAGGACAUCAUAGAGGGUGAGAAUCCCGUAUUUGACCUUUACUUUCAACUUUGUGAUACACUUUCAAAGAGUCGGAUUGUUUGGGAAUGCAGUCCAAAAUGGGUGGUAAAUUUCAUCUAAAGCUAAAUAUUGGCGAGAGACCGAUAGCGAACAAGUACCGUGAGGGGAAGAUGAAAAGAACUUUGAAAAGAGAGUUAAACAGUACGUGAAAUUGUCAAGAGGGAAGCGUUUGACACCAGUGUUGUUUUCUCUGAAAAUCAAUUAAAAUGAACUCGAUUUAUGCUAAGUUGUUUAGACCUUAUCAGCUCACUGUUUAGUUUUUGAGCUUUUCUUUAAUGCACUUUUCAGUUAACAAGUCAACAUCAAUUUCUUUUGCUGUAAAAAAGCUUGAGGAAGGUGGCUUGAGAUUCGUCUUAAGUGUUUAUAGCCUCUUGCCUAUGCAGUCGGAGAGAUUGAGGUCUGCAGCGUAGAUCCUUCGGGGCUAAAUGCAUCUUGUGCUAAGUUAUAGCCUUUCAUAGACAACUUGUUGACUAUGAUUUAGUCUUGUAGCUUACUCGCUUAUGCUAUUUUACCUACGCUUAGGAUGUUGACGCAUGAGAUAUACGC